GAUGAACGCUGACAGAAUGCUUAACACAUGCAAGUCAACUGUGGCGCACGGGGUAGUAACGCGUAAAGAACUUGCCUCUCAGAUAGGGACAACCUUUGGAAACGAAUGCUAAUACCUGAUACUGUGAGAAAGCUUUGCGUCCCAUGAGCUAGUUGGAGAGGAACUGGCUCACAAAGGCGAUGAUGGGUAGCCGGACUGAGAGGGUGAUCAGCCACAAGGGGACGUGGACACGGCCCGUACGCCUACGGGAGGCAGAGGUGGGGAAUAUUGGACAAUUGACCAAAGUCUGAUCCAGCAAUUCGGUUUGCACGAUGAAGUUUGCGGAAUGUAAAGUGCUUUCAGUUGGGAAUCGGUACCAGCAGAAGAAGUGACGGCUAAAUACGUGCCAGCAGCCGCGGUAAUUC
rnacentral:rRNA from 1 species